rnacentral:lncRNA from 1 species
AAAGAGAAAAUGGUUACAAGUUUACUGAUCUCACUUUACCCACUGUUCUUUUGCUUCUGUCCUGGUAAAAUAUUACUCACCUCUGUCUUCUUCUUGACUUAAAUAACUGGAUAAAAUAUGUAUGAUGUAUCCUAUUAAAAUUUUAACGGAUGCUUUAAAAUAUGUGUUGAUGAUCGUACGUGUGUUCAUUUCAUGCCACAAAUUUCCCAUCUCAUUCAUGAUCUCAUUUAAAUAAUCCUGUUCGAAAUUAUUUAUUUUAUUCAAACGGGUAGGAAAAAAGUACAGGAAUGAAAUGGGGUACUAUCCAAAUUAUAUUUUCAGAAUUACUAAAAAAAUCUCUUAAUUUUUUUUCUUACGUAUGUGACAGGUCGAAUUUUGUGGUUGUGGUUUUGAUUCUGAGUACUGCGAUAAGCAUGAGCCGUGCUCAACCUUACGGAGAAGGAUGGUUAGAGGAAGAUUGUUACCUGGUCAAAGACGGUGUCUUUGCAGCUUCAGGCUGUUUAGCCAUCUUUGGACUUGGAGCCUUGAUCAUAUCAGCCACCAAGAUCAAAGUAAACAACAAACAAC